GUUGAAAACAAAAAGCACAAAGAGUAUAUUUGUUUUUGGGCCCAAUCUUGGAGAAAAUUUCCAUUAAACUCACCUGCACAAGGAAUGGAAGAUUAUCCCCCAUCAAGUUUUGUAGGAAAUCUAACCCCACCCAGAAAAAGAAAGUGUUUCCAGUCUUUGUUUCAUAUAAUGAUUUCUAUCUGUCCUCUAGAACAUGUGUGUUUCUUAUGACCACAGUAUAUUCAGUCUUAGUUUAAACAGUGAUAAGUAUAUUUAUAGAUCUGUGUAAAACAAAAUAUUACUAGCAUGUCAGCAUUUGGUUGAUCUUCACAUUCUUGGCUUAAAAAUGGUUUAAAAUAAAACAUACACACAAAGCAGGGUUGUUUUUUUGGCUCCAGUUUCCUCAUUUUUGCCCACAACAGACCUGGCAGAUGUGGGAUAGUUGGAAUGUGCAUAUCUAACAAUUCUCUUCUGUGCCAUCAUUUGAAGCUGUAGGAGUGCAGCUAUUUGGCUGUAGCACAGAACAGAGUGAUGAAUGCUGUUUUCCAUACAGCAUUUUCCAUAGACCAGGGCUCAGUGGCUGGCAAGGCAAAGAAAUUACAACUUUCCAAGUCAGAAGCAGAGAAAAGGGAAAUACUUUCUGAAAAAAACUCUAUUGUAACCCACAUAGUUCCAAAAGGGUGUGUCGUACUGGAAAAUCUUUCAUGUGAGAGAGCAACCUGAUUGUGUGAGGUCCUUCUCACAGAUGUCCAGGAUGCAGAAACCAGAGGUGUAGCCUGCCAAAUCUGCCAAGGAUCAUAUUUGUCCACCCCACCAGAACAAAUACCUCAGGAAUGGAACAGCAACACAACUAAACUGUAGUGAGGGUUAGACUAGCUAUGGAAAGCUAGUGUUAUCCUAAAACAGGCUUUCAUGGGGCAAGGUCCAGCUCUGAUAAAUGACCAUCACUCUUAAAUAAAUGAGCAGCCUAGACAGCA
rnacentral:lncRNA from 1 species